rnacentral:lncRNA from 1 species
GACACUCUGUUAAGUCUUGUGUGUUGGCAAGUUUCGUGAAGUGAGUCGGAGUGUUGAAGAAUCGAUGAGUGUCGUCGAAGAUUGAAGAAUUCAAGAUUUCGAAGAAGUUGGAAAAUAACUCACGAUGUGAAUCACGACGUAAAGGUAAUGUGUUAAUUCAUGUUAUGGUGAUUCAUACUUAGUUAUAGGCAUUAGAAUCAUUAUUAUCAAU